AUCUUGCAAAGUGUGGGAGAUAAGGAAGUGUAAAUGCAUUUUUCCAUAAUUUUGACAGUCUAAUCAAAGGCAAUGAGUUCUUUGUGCAGAUUUUUCAACUCUGCCACAUAGAAAGCUUCAGUUAUGUAUAGGUCAUAGCACAUUUAAUUUUUAACAUUGGUAUGACUUAUUCCUAUAGCAGGAAGACUGCCUUGAAGAAACAGAAUCUGCUAUAAGAAUACUAUCAGGAAAGAAUGGUCAAGUCAGGUGAAACCGCUGCUAUUGUAUGACUGCUGAAAUAAUCGUGUACCUGGACUAUCUGCGGCUGCCUUUUCCAGCACCUUCCUGUGGACUGCUCCAGGGCACUCUCUAGAAGUCAGAAUGGACUCCUGCUGAUUCUCUCGCAUAUUUGUCUUGAAUAAAAGAAUGGUGUAUGCCAGUGGAUUUCAAAGCUUCUCACAAAACAUCUCCACAUCUGAAGUCUCAAGAGUUUAUGUCAAGCAUUUGUAUUACUUACAACUAAUUAAAUAUACCAUUCCUGUUUUACAACAUGAACACAUUUGCUGAUAAUGUUGUAACUUGUAUUAUUAUUAUUUGUUUGAAACAAUACAUUAAUAAUUAAUGACUGGUCAGUAAUAUAAUACUAAUAUCUUGACCUAUUUAGAAUAGACAUUAAUUAUCACAUGUAUAGAAAAUAGUGUGAUUUUAAAUUUUUUUUCACAAAAAAUAAUUUGGAAGCAUGUUAAAGUGCCUUAUUUCCAUAUUAUUUAUUUACGUGAUUUGGAGAAUAUUGUUUAAAGUUUUAUUUUACAAGACUAAGCAGACUGUCAAAAAAGGUAGAUUAUGAAUACUAAAGAAAAGGCAAGAGAGUUGGCAUUUAGAAGUUAAUUGUAGUGAUUUGUUGAGGUUAUCUAAGGGAAAAUACCUGAUGACCCCAUUAUUGGAUUUGAAUAUAAAAAUGCUGGAUGCAUUAUAUGUGGCAGCCUGAGAUCUAUUCUUCUUAUCAGAGAGAUAUAAAAUUACCGAGAUUUAACUGAAGGCAGCUGUCAAACUCUGUAAAAGAACUGAUAUUCUUCAGAGGAGUGCAAAUUCUAUGUCAAAGACACAAAACAGAUUCUUAUUGCUUAAUAAUCUCCCACAGUUCAAUAGUGACAGAAAUUGGUUUCCUUUUUGCCCCCUACCCCUACUGUCUUAUUUCUACAAUUUUCUCUACAGUUACCAGUUUUGGGAUGACUGAUUCUGGUGUUUACUAUAUGAUCACUUGAUCAAUGGAGACCUGCCCAUCCUGCUUCUGACUAUCGUGAUGUCAUAGUAGAGCUGCUUUAGAUGAAUCCGAAGUACUCACUCCUUUCUCCAAUUUCUUCUUAUCUGGUUUAAGAAAACAGUAACUUAUUUUUGGCAGAGUCUAUCAAAAAUGAGAGGAAUUGUCUAUAGUAUAAUUUUAGUUUGAGUACAGAGAAUAAUAAAAAUUAUUGCUAAAAUAAAAUCUGAUUUAUCUAAGUA